UACGGAGGGAGCUAGCGUUGUUCGGAAUUACUGGGCGUAAAGCGCACGUAGGCGGCUUUGUAAGUUAGAGGUGAAAGCCCGGGGCUCAACUCCGGAACUGCCUUUAAGACUGCAUCGCUUGAAUCCGGGAGAGGUGAGUGGAAUUCCGAGUGUAGAGGUGAAAUUCGUAGAUAUUGGGAGGAACACCAGUGGCGAAGGCGGCUCACUGGACCGGAACUGACGCUGAGGCGCGAAAGCGUGGGGAGCAAACGGGG
rnacentral:rRNA from 1 species